rnacentral:rRNA from 1 species
UACACGACCGUACCGCAAACCGACACUGGUGCGCGAGAUGAGUAUUCUAAGGCGCUUGAGAGAACUCAGGAGAAGGAACUCGGCAAAUUGACACCGUAACUUCGGAAGAAGGUGUGCCUUUAGUAGGUGAACCAUUUACUUGGGGAGCCCAAUGAGGCUGCAAAAAAUCGGUGGCUGCAACUGUUUAUUAAAAACACAGCACUCUGCUAAGACGAAAGUCGACGUAUAGGGUGUGACGCCUGCCCGGUGCUGGAAGAUUAAAUGAUGGGGUGCAAGCUCUUGAUUGAAGUCCCAGUAAACGGCGGCCGUAACAAUAACGGUCCUAAGGUAGCGAAAUUCCUUGUCGGGUAAGUUCCGACCUGCACGAAUGGCGUAAUGAUGGCCACACUGUCUCCUCCUGAGACUCAGCGAAGUUGAAAUGUUUGUGAUGAUGCAAUCUCCCCGCGGAAAGACGGAAAGACCCCAUGAACCUUUACUGUAGCUUUGUAUUGGACUUUGAACAGAUCUGUGUAGGAUAGGUGGGAGGCUUUGAAGUGUGGUCGCUAGAUCGCAUGGAGCCAACGUUGAAAUACCACCCUGGUGUGUUUGAGGUUCUAACCUAGGUCCAUUAUCUGGAUCGGGGACAGUGCAUGGUAGGCAGUUUGACUGGGGCGGUCUCCUCCCAAAGUGUAACGGAGGAGUUCGAAGGUACGCUAGUUACGGUCGGACAUCGUGAUAAUAGUGCAAUGGCAUAAGCGUGCUUAACUGCGAGACUGACAAGUCGAGCAGAUGCGAAAGCAGGACAUAGUGAUCCGGUGGUUCUGUAUGGAAGGGCCAUCGCUCAACGGAUAAAAGGUACUCUGGGGAUAACAGGCUGAUACCGCCCAAGAGUUCAUAUCGACGGCGGUGUUUGGCACCUCGAUGUCGGCUCAUCUCAUCCUGGGGCUGUAGCCGGUCCCAAGGGUAUGGCUGUUCGCCAUUUAAAGAGGUACGUGAGCUGGGUUUAAAACGUCGUGAGACAGUUUGGUCCCUAUCUUCCGUGGGCGCUGCAGAUUUGAGGAAGCCUGCUCCUAGUACGAGAGGACCGGAGUGGACGAACCUCUGGUGUAUCGGUUGUCACGCCAGUGGCAUUGCCGAGUAGCUAAGUUCGGAAGAGAUAACCGCUGAAAGCAUCUAAGCGGGAAACUCGUUUCAAGAUUAGAUCUGCCGGGGCCUUGAGCCCCCUAAAGAGUCGUUCAAGACCAGGACGUUGAUAGGUCAGGUGUGGAAGCG